GGGGUGACUAGUGACAGAGUGAGGGAAGGGGUGACUAGUGGCAGAGUGAGGGAUGGAAGGGGUGACUAGUGACAGAGUGAGGGAGGUGGUGACUGUCACUAGUCACCACCUCCCUCACUCUGUCACUAGUCACCACCUCCCUCUGUCACUACUCCCUCCCUCCUUCUGUCACUAGUCACCCCCUCCGUCCCUUACUCUGUCACUAGUCACCCCUUCCCUCACUCGGUCACCAGUCAUCCCC